GCAAGGUCUGGAAGUCAGACCUCAAAGAGGAAAAACGGAGAUAGGGAAUCUCCAACAGAAAUUCGCAAAGGAGGAAUCCAGACACCUAAACCGGGAGAACCAAAGCCGGGUGGACAGCCUGGCCCAGCAGAUGCAGAAGCUCACUCGCUCUGUAACCACGUUGGAGUCCCAGCACAGACGGCAGAACAUGCGGGUGAGGGGAGUACCAGAAAGCAUCGAGGGGGACAAAUUGCUUCCCUUUACCCAGCGCCUGGUGACCUCACUGGGCCUAAAAUGGAAUGACACCAAAGUGAUAAUACUAGCAGCAUUCCGUGUACAUAAAGCAGCAGCUGCCCUCAGGGAGCAACUAGAGACAUGAUAGCGGUCACCUGAGACAUUGUGGUUCGAUCCGCCGUUAUUGCUAGAUUCAGGGAGAUGGGUACAACUCUAUUUGAAAACUGCUCCGUGUCAAUCUACGG